AUACAUGAUGCCCGGUUCAAUUUGACUUCUGAUUAACAACAAAUAAUUUUUAGUACAAGUAUGUCCCAUGCAAUAUUUGAGACAUACUUAUACUAAAAAACUAUUUCUUGUUUAUCUAAAGUUCAAAUUCAACUGGCAUCCUGUAUUUU
rnacentral:miRNA from 1 species